AUUGAACGCUGGCGGCAGGCCUAACACAUGCAAGUCGAACGAGUGGCGGACGGGUGAGUAAUGUCUGGGAAACUGCCCGAAGGAGGGGGAUAACUGCUGGAAAAGGUAGCUAAUACCGCAUAGCAGCGGUUGUUCCCGGAUGGGAUUAGCUAGUAGGUGGGGGAAAGGCUCACCUAGGCGACGAUCCCUAGCUGGUCUGAGAGGAUGACCAGCCACACUGGAACUGAGACACGGUCCAGACUCCUACGGGAGGCAGCAGUGGGGAAUAUUGCACAAUGGGCGCAAGCCUGAUGCAGCCAUGCCGCGUGUAUGAAGAAGGCCUUCGGGUUGUAAAGUACUGUCAGCGGGGAGGCGUUACCCGCAGAAGAAGCACCGGCUAACUCCGUGCCAGCCGCCGCGGUAAUAC
rnacentral:rRNA from 1 species